rfam:Spiroplasma eriocheiris strain DSM 21848, complete genome.
UCUGGUGUCUAUGGCAUAGUGGUCACACCUGUUCCCAUCCCGAACACAGAAGUUAAGCACUAUUACGCCGACGAUAGCUUUCGAGUGAAAAUAGGGCGAUGCCAGGU